GGUUAAAAAGCUCGUAGUUGGAUUUCUGUCGGUGAGUGAAAGUCCGCUCUCAGUGGUUGGUACCUUUCGCGCCACCGGCAUCUUCCUGGGGAUUGUGUCUGCUCUUUGUUGAGUGGCGCAUAAUCCAGGACUUUUACUUUGAAGAAAUGAGAGUGUUUCAAGCAGGCCUACGCCGAAUACGUUAGCAUGGAAUAAUAGCAUCGGACCUCGUUCCAAAGCUGUUGGUUUCUUGGACCGAGGUAAAGGUGAAUAGGGAUUGUUGGGGGCAUUCGUAUUUAACUGUCAGAGGUGAAAUUCUUGGAUUUGUUGAAGACGGACUACUGCGAAAGCAUCUGCCAAAGAUGUUCCCAUUGAUCAAGAACGAAAGUUAGGUGAUCGAAGACGAUCAGAUACCGUCCUAGUCUUAACCAUAAACUAUGCCGACUGGAGAUCGGGGGUCGUUAACUUUGUGACGCCCUUUGCAUCUUGAGAGAAAUCAAAGUCUUUGGGUUCCGGGGGGAGUAUGGUCGCAAGGCUGAAACUUAAAGGAAUUGACGGAAGGGCACCACCAGGAGUGGAGCCUGCGGCUUAAUUUGACUCAACACGGGGAAACUUACCAGGUCCAGACAUAGUAAGGAUUGACAGACUGAUAGCUCUUUCGAGAUUCUAUGGGUGGUGGUGCAUG
rnacentral:rRNA from 1 species